rnacentral:rRNA from 1 species
UACGUAGGGGGCAAGCGUUGUCCGGAUUUAUUGGGCGUAAAGAGCUCGUAGGCGGCUUGGCAAGUCGGGUGUGAAAACUCCAGGCUCAACCUGGAGAUGCCACUCGAGACUGCUAUGGCUAGAGUCCGGUAGGGGACCACGGAAUUCCUGGUGUAGCGGUGAAAUGCGCAGAUAUCAGGAAGAGCACCUAUGGCGAAGGCAGCACUCUGGGACGGUACUGACGCUGAGACGCGAAAGCGUGGGGAGCGAACAGG